rnacentral:rRNA from 1 species
GAUGAACGCUAGCGGCAGGCUUAACACAUGCAAGUCGAGGGGUAACAUAGAUUGCUUGCAAUCUGAUGACGACCGGCGCACGGGUGCGUAACGCGUAUACAAUUUGCCUUAUACUGGAGGAUAGCCUUUAGAAAUGAAGAUUAAUACUCCAUGGUCUAUAGAUGUGGCAUCACAGUUAUAGUAAAGAUUUAUUGGUAUAAGAUGAGUAUGCGUUCUAUUAGCUAGUAGGUAAGGUAACGGCUUACCUAGGCGACGAUAGAUAGGGGUCCUGAGAGGGAGAUCCCCCACACUGGUACUGAGACACGGACCAGACUCCUACGGGAGGCAGCAGUGAGGAAUAUUGGACAAUGGAGGCAACUCUGAUCCAGCCAUGCCGCGUGCAGGAAGACUGCCCUAUGGGUUGUAAACUGCUUUUAUAUAGGAAGAAACCCAUUUACGUGUAAGUGGCUGACGGUACUAUAUGAAUAAGCACCGGCUAACUCCG